rnacentral:rRNA from 1 species
AUUGAACGCUGGCGGCAGGCCUAACACAUGCAAGUCGAGCGGAGCGGCGGACGGGUGAGUAAUGCCUAGGAAUCUGCCUGGUCGUGGGGGAUAACGUCCGGAAACGGGCGCUAAUCCCGCAUACUAUCAGAUAAGCCUAGGUCGGAUUAGCUAGUUGGGGGGGUAGAGGCCUACCAGGGCGACGAUCCGUAACUGGUCUGGGAGGAUGAUCAGCCACACGGGAACGAGGACAAGGGCCAGACUCCAACGGGGGGCAGCAGUGGGGAAUAUUGGACAAUGGGCGAAAGCCUGAUCCAGGCAGGCCGCGUGUGUGAAGAAGGUCUUCGGAUUGUAAAGCACUUUGUGUUGGGAGACGUUACUAACAGAAUAAGCACCGGCUAACUUCGUGCCAGCAGCCGCGGUAAUAC